AGAGUUUGAUCCUGGCUCAGAGCGAACGCUGGCGGCAGGCCUAACACAUGCAAGUCGAGCGCCCCGCAAGGGGAGCGGCGGACGGGUGAGUAACACGUGGGAACGUGCCCUUCGGUUCGGGAUAACUCAGGGAAACUUGAGCUAACACCGGAUACGCCCUUCGGGGGAAAGGUUACGCCGUUGGAGCGGCCCGCGUUGGAUUAGCUUGUUGGUGGGGUAAUGGCCCACCAAGGCGACGAUCCAUAGCUGGUCUGAGAGGAUGAUCAGCCACACUGGGACUGAGACACGGCCCAGACUCCUACGGGAGGCAGCAGUGGGGAAUCUUGCGCAAUGGGCGAAAGCCUGACGCAGCCAUGCCGCGUGAAUGAUGAAGGUCUUAGGAUUGUAAAAUUCUUUCAGCGGGGACGAUAAUGACGGUACCCGCAGAAGAAGCCCCGGCUAACUUCGUGCCAGCAGCCGCGGUAAUACGAAGGGGGCUAGCGUUGCUCGGAUUUACUGGGCGUAAAGGGCGCGUAGGCGGAUGACCAAGUUGGGGGUGAAAUCCCGGGGCUUAACCUCGGAACUGCCUCCAAAACUGGUCGUCUUGAGUUUGGGAGAGGUGUGUGGAACUCCGAGUGUAGAGGUGAAAUUCGUAGAUAUUCGGAAGAACACCAGUGGCGAAGGCGACACCUGGCCCAAUACUGAGCUGAGGCGCGAAAGCGUGGGGAGCAAACAGGAUUAGAUACCCUAGUAGUCC
rnacentral:rRNA from 1 species